rnacentral:misc_RNA from 1 species
GAUGAAGAACGUAGCGAAAUGCGAUAAGUAAUGCGAAUUGCAGAAUUCAGUGAAUCAUCGAGUCUUUGAACGCACAUUGCGCCCCCUGGUAUUCCGGGGGGCAUGCCUGUCCGAGCGUCAUUGCUGCCCUCAAGCACGGCUUGUGUGUUGGGCCUCCGUCCUCCUCCCGGGGGACGGGCCCGAAAGGCAGCGGCGGCACCGCGUCCGGUCCUCGAGCGUAUGGGGCUUCGUCACCCGCUCUUGUAGGCCCGGCCGGCGCUUGCCGACACAUCAAUCUUUUUUCCAGGUUGACCUCGGAUCAGGUAGGGAUACCCGCUGAACUUAAGCAUAUCAUAAGCGGAGGA